GUGGAUAAGCAUUGAGCUGCCAUUGUAAUCUCACCUGUAUCAAUGGUUCCUGAAACAACAAAGUUGAGUCCAGUUAUUCUUUUCUCCAAAUAUGAUGGAAAGGUGAUGUAACGCUUGGCCCAAAUCUCAUUAAAGUAGUCCUCUAGUAGCCACAAACAAUAAUGCUCACGAUCAAGUCGGUAAUCAAUUAUAACCAAACGCCCUUCCAGUUGAAUCAAACAAGAUGUAUCUACAUUGUGUGGUGCACCUCUAGGAAGAUUGAUCACUCGAAAACUUUCAGUUUGGACAUCAAAAGAAACUAGAGCCGCCACUUGAUUAAUGGUUCCUAAGCUCAUCCAACUCCUAAAGAAGAUAAUCCCACUUAU
rnacentral:misc_RNA from 1 species